rnacentral:rRNA from 1 species
GACGUAGGGCGCGAGCGUUGUCCGGAUUUAUUGGGCGUAAAGAGCUCGUAGGCGGCUUGUCGCGUCGACUGUGAAAUCCCGCGGCUCAACUGCGGGUCUGCAGUCGAUACGGGCAGGCUAGAGUUCGGUAGGGGAGACUGGAAUUCCUGGUGUAGCGGUGAAAUGCGCAGAUAUCAGGAGGAACACCAAUGGCGAAGGCAGCUCGCUGGAACGGUACUGACGCUGAGGCGCGAAAGCGUGGGGAGCGAACAGG